rnacentral:rRNA from 1 species
GUGGGGAAUUUUGGACAAUGGGGGCAACCCUGAUCCAGCCAUGCCGCGUGCGGGAAGAAGGCCUUCGGGUUGUAAACCGCUUUUGUUAGGAACGAAAAGGCUUUGACGAAUAAUCAGAGCUGCUGACGGUACCUAAAGAAUAAGCACCGGCUAACUACGUGCCAGCAGCCGCGGUAAUACGUAGGGUGCGAGCGUUAAUCGGAAUUACUGGGCGUAAAGCGUGCGCAGGCGGUUAAGUAAGACAGAUGUGAAAUCCCUGAGCUUAACUUAGGAAUUGCAUUUGUGACUGCUUGACUGGAGUGUGUCAGAGGGAGGUGGAAUUCCAAGUGUAGCAGUGAAAUGCGUAGAUAUUUGGAAGAACACCGAUGGCGAAGGCAGCCUCCUGGGAUAACACUGACGCUCAUGCACGAAAGCGUGGGGAGCAAACAGGAUUAGAAACCCCAGUAGUCC